rnacentral:rRNA from 1 species
GAGAGCUUGCUUUCCUUGAGAGUGGCGCACGGGUGCGUAACACGUAUGUAACCUACCUUAAUCAGGGGAUAGCCUCUCGAAAGAGAGAUUAAGACCGCAUAACAUCAUGGAGUAGCAUUACUUUAUGAUCAAAUAUUUAUAGGAUUAAGAUGGGCAUGCGGAACAUUAGCUAGUUGGUAAGGUAACGGCUUACCAAGGCUACGAUGUUUAGGGGAUCUGAGAGGAUGACCCCCCACACUGGUACUGAGACACGGACCAGACUCCUACGGGAGGCAGCAGUAAGGAAUAUUGGUCAAUGGGCGGAAGCCUGAACCAGCCAUGCCGCGUGCAGGAAGACUGCCCUACGGGUUGUAAACUGCUUUUGUACCGAAAUAAACCUUUGGUCGUGACCAGAGCUGAAUGUACGGUAAGAAUAAGGAUCGGCUAACUCCGUGCCAGCAGCCGCGGUAAUACGGAGGAUCCAAGCGUUAUCCGGAUUUAUUGGGUUUAAAGGGUGCGUAGGUGGCUUAUUAAGUCAGGGGUGAAAGACGGUAGCUUAACUAUCGCAGUGCCUUUGAUACUGAUGAGCUUGAAUGAACUAGAGGUAGGCGGAAUGUGACAAGUAGCGGUGAAAUGCAUAGAUAUGUCACAGAACACCAAUUGCGAAGGCAGCUUACUAUGGUUUGAUUGACACUGAGGCACGAAAGCGUGGAGAUCAAACAGGAUUAGAUACCCUGGUAGUCCACGCCCUAAACGAUGAAUACUCGAUGUUGGCGAUAUACGGUCAGCGUCUAAGCGAAAGCGUUAAGUAUUCCACCUGGGGAGUACGCCCGCAAGGGUGAAACUCAAAGGAAUUGACGGGGGCCCGCACAAGCGGAGGAGCAUGUGGUUUAAUUCGAUGAUACGCGAGGAACCUUACCCGGGCUUGAAAGUUAGUGAAUUGAGCAGAGACGCUCAAGUCCUUCGGGACACGAAACUAGGUGCUGCAUGGCUGUCGUCAGCUCGUGCCGUGAGGUGUUGGGUUAAGUCCCGCAACGAGCGCAACCCCUAUGUUUAGUUGCCAGCACGUUAAGGUGGGGACUCUAAACAGACUGCCUAUGCAAAUAGAGAGGAAGGAGGGGACGACGUCAAGUCAUCAUGGCCCUUACGUCCGGGGCUACACACGUGCUACAAUGGAUGGUACAGAGGGCAGCUACCUGGCAACAGGAUGCCAAUCUCAUAAAGCCAUUCACAGUUCGGAUCGGGGUCUGCAACUCGACCCCGUGAAGUUGGAUUCGCUAGUAAUCGCGU